ACACUUGGCAAAUUUUUUAUUUCCCUUUCAGUUCCCUUCAGAAGAACACACGCACAGCCCACUUCGCGCACAACCAAACCCUCUUUCCUCCAGAAGCUCAUCCUUUCGCCAUUCUCAUCACCUUCACGCAUAACCUUCACCUUAGCCAACCCUUUCGCGCACAACACACCUAGUCACCCAGUCACCCCCACUUAGAAAAAAUUUAACCUCACCCAGUCACCCUCACUCACGCGACAUACACCAUCAUCCUCACUCCACACACACACACGAAAGAGGGAAGAAAUCCGAAAGGGGGAGAACGGGAAGAAGAAGAGAAGAGAGGGAAGGUAGGAAAGGACGACACCGGCUAGGGCUCCGCCGCCGUCGUUGUCGAGCGCCAGAGAGAGAGAGAGAGCGCUCGAGGAAAAGAGAAAACGCGAUGGAGGAGAGAAGAAGGGGGUGCUUCGUCGCCACUGAAGCUCCACCGCCACUGCUAGGGCUUGUUGCCAUCGCCUUCUGCCAUCGUCAGGCUGCUGUGCUGCCGCCAAGGAGGUCAAAGGGAUGUCUCGCCGCCGUCGUGCUCUGUCGCCAAGCCGUUGUGUCGCCACUCAUCACCAUCAUCGUAUCCUCUGUCACCAGUUCGAAGGUGGGUAUGGUUUUGAUAGUGAUGAUGAACUGCAACGUCUAAUUAAGAUAGAGAAAAGGCUCUCUAGGUAUUUCCAGUCACACGAUUUUGAUGUUAUUAGUGUCCUUUCUGCUAACAUGAUGAAUCUCAUAUAGAGGAAAUAUGAAUUCAGAGGAAGCUGCACAAAUUCUUAGAAGAACUACAAGAUAAACAACAGUGAAGAUGAAGAAACUUGCCAUUUGCGUCACAAUCAAAUAGUUACCAUUACAUUAGGUGCCAACUAUUCAAAAUUGGCAAAUUUAUAGCAAUGUAUGAGAAUGAGAGGAAGAUACUUUCCAUUGAAAAUGUUGCUCCGUAAUAGGGAUAUGCUGCAGGUGAGCUACGUUGUGUCUAAAGGGACGGACAGGGAUCUACGUACAAAGUUCAAAGGCAUUCGAGAUCUUUGUGGAUCCGGAAUUGUUUAUCUCAGCUGUACGCCAAAGACAUCACUACUCUUGAUGAUAAACAAGAGCUUGAUGAGGCUUUACAGCAGGAGGUGGAUGUUCGAAAGGAUCUGAUAAGAAAUUUUGCAAACACGAUUGAUCUUGAUCAGCUAGAUAUUUGAUGGUGCAACUUAUUGUGAAGCUGAAUGUUUUCCUCAGAAGCAAGCAAGGCCCCAUUUUUGUUGAUGACAUUUGGUUAUGAAAGAACCACUGUUGUGCACAAGGGGAAUGGUCAUUUGUAAUGGAGGAAUUUGAUUUAUACCAAAAUGACUUCUUUUUUUUUUUUCAUUUUUUUUACAUUGGAAUGUAAAUUUUCUUUUUGUUUAAAUGUUUUCAGAUUUUCUAUCUUACAACAACCUGUAAACUUUAGAAGCUAUAGGCUAAAGAUGGUACAUACUAGGGGUGUAAUCGGCUCAGUUCGGUUCGGUUUUGGACCGAAAACCAACCGAACCGACCUGAUCGGUUCUUCAAAGAGACCAACCGUUCGGUUAGCUGCAGUUUGAGCAACCGAACCGAACCGAACCGAACCAACAGCGGUUUGGUUCGGUCGGUUUUUUCGGUUUUUUUACACCUACUUAUCUGAAUUUAAAAUGCCAUAAAAUAAAAUUUAAAACCUUCAAUAAACUAGAAAAACAAGAAUUUAUCACAUCCAAAUUCAAUACAAAUUCAACUUAAUUAAACAUAAAACAAAGACAAUUAAAAAUGUCUAGCAAAACAACAAGGUUAAAGGGUAAAUAUGUAAAAACAAGGUUUCUUAACCAAUAUUUCGGUUCGGUUCGGUUUGUAUUGAGCCAACCAAAAACCAAACCGAACUGAUCGGUUUAAUUCGAAAAAAACAAAAAAAUCGAUUUUUUCGGUUUUCUUUUCGGUGGUUGUAAAUUUCGGUUCGGUUUUGCGGUAAAAUUCGGUCCGGUUCGGUAACUUACACCCCUAGUACAUACAGAUUCCAGAUAACAGUGAUGUUGUAUACAAGAUAUGCAUUAUUUUCUGUGGCAACUAUUUUCUGUUUUUCUGAU